GAUGAAGAACGCAGCGAAAUGCGAUAAGUAGUGUGAAUUGCAGAAUUCAGUGAAUCAUCGAAUCUUUGAACGCACAUUGCGCCCCUUGGUAUUCCAUGGGGCAUGCCUGUUCGAGCGUCAUUUCAACCAUCAAGCCCUAGGCUUGCGUUGGAGCCCUGCGGCUGCCGCAGGCCCCUAAAAGCAGUGGCGGGCUCGCUAUCACACCGAGUGCAGUAGAUUACUCUUCGCUCAGGGCGUGUGGCGGGUUCCAGCCGUGAAACCCCCUACUUCUCAAGGUUGACCUCGGAUCAGGUAGGAAUACCCGCUGAACUUAAGCAUAUCAAUAAGCGGAGGA
rnacentral:misc_RNA from 1 species